CUAUUCCAAUUCCAAAAACGUGAUACCUCUCUUUCUAUCGAUUUGUUUCUUCUUCCUCUACAUCUUCAUACAAAAUUGUUUCUUCUUCUAUCGAUUUUUUUCAAUUUUUUUCAAGCGGUGUUGCUUGAGGUUCGUCAACGGUGGAUGACUUCACGUAUGGUGUCUGCGGCUACGUCGAUCUUGGCCGAAAGGGUGAUGCUCACGGUGAUUGGUUUUUCUUUCUCAUGACCCUUCACAGUGGUCGGGUUUGAUUAAACGUUGUUAUGUUGUUGAAUCGAUCUGUGGAAGCAGAGAGUUUUUAGGGAGUGGAGUUUGACUGAGAUAUAUGGAGUGAGAGAGGACUGAGGUUAACAAGAAAUCAGGGAUUGGAGGUGGACUCAGAAGUUGAGGGAAUCGUGGGAUUGAGGUGGCUCAAAGUCCCAAUUUUCCAGGCUUUUCAAAUAUGAAUCAUGGGGUUGUGAUUCAAAUCUUACUGAUUGUCCUUCUUUUCUAUAACCUUCAAGAACGAGGCAUGCUGAUAUUUGGCAUACAUGACAAUAAAGAAAAUGGAUGAAUAUAAGGUUUUAGCAACUAUUGGAGCGCCUGGAAAACAUGUGAAGACGCUUUAGUAGAACUGCUACUUCUUUCAGCAGCUACUGUCUCCGACCGUCCUCAUUAUCUAUUUUUUGGUUGGCUGAAUUUUCUGUUCAAUUUUCAUUAAUUGAGUAAUGAUUUUGGUUGGUUGAGUUUUCAAACAACCCCCUGCCAACAACCGUUUCUCCAACUCCGACCGAUUCGCACUCCUCAUCUCGCGGCCUUCCUAAAGUCUUUUGAUUUAAUUUUUUAUUUGUUUGGUGUUAAUGAUGCUCACGGGUUUGUGCGAUAUGUUGGAGCUUGUGAACACCUUCCCAUAAGAGAUGUCUCUGUUGGAAAGCAUGUAAAAUAUAUUCUCAGAAAAGAGUGUAUUUGAUUUUAGAGUUUGCACCUAAAGGUGAACUUUACAAGGCAUUAUAGAAAUGCAAAUGUUUUAGUGAAAGACGUGUAGCUACUGGAUUGCUAGAGGCUGUGGAUGGCAGCACAUAGGAGUUUAUGUUACUGCAUUAGCAUUUUGAGUUCAAGUGGGAGGAAAAGGACUUUGGAUUGGUAUACAAGUUGGAGCUUUUUUCAAUGCGUUCUUCUUUCUAUUAUAACAAGUUGUAUAAAAUGGGAGCAACGGGUAUGCUUUUGUUCAAUGUGUUCUUCUUGAACUAUAUUUUUGAAAGAUUCUUAUUGCAGUUUGACUCCCAGGGUGAUUUUAUUUAAAUAGUUAGCAUGUGCGUUGACUUCCAUUCCAUUGCAGUUUAUGGUCUUCGUUUGAUCUCCAUAUUUUAAAAUCUCUAGCUUACUGCAAAUGUAUUCAAAUAAAAUGAGAUUUGACAGUCGAACUAUUCUCUUAUCUACAUUGAAUAGUCAACCCAACAUUUUGUGAUUCAGGUUAUGUUGUUUCACAUUAUGUUGUAUGUUCUUUUUUAUCUGUGGUUAAUCAGCUAAAGUGCCAUAUAUUGUGUGGCAGUUCUCUACCAGUCUUCCCAAGUAUUGUUUUACACUUGCCCAAAGAAAUCUGAAAGACUUUUGUCAGGUGGUCACUUGGAGCUAUUAUGAAUGAAAUGCUGGUGGGAUAUCGACCUUUUUAUUUCAGACAUUCGACGAUCGCUGGCGGAAGUGGAGGAGAUGGUCCAACACAGACUUCUGCAUUACCGCAUUAAGGACUAUUUUGGCGGUGUAUGCGGACUAUCUUAAAUUUGAAUGCGGUAUUGCGGAAAAGUAUCCUCAAUUUGGCCAGCUGCAUAAUGGAGUGUUCAUGCAACAGGUUCAUAAAUGUGGAACUACUAAAGCCACUUAAAAAUGUGGUCCCUUGGUUACAAGAAAUAUUCACAUGGGAAAACCCAAUAAACAGUCUUGUUGUUCUUGUUGCAUCCCUAAUAAUCACCUAUAUAUAAUGGGUUGGAAAGGGAGUUGCAGCAUUCUUGGUAUGGGUGAUAGAAAGAUGCUUGAGAAAAGAAAGAAAAAGCUUAAUAAGCAGUGCAAUGAGAUAGUAACCAAUAGAUCUAAUAUGGCUUCUAAUCAAUCUACAAUGGAUAACAUUGUCUCAGCCCAACAUGGAUUAUACGCAGUUCAUGAGAUGAUGGAGAUAGCAAACAUAGCAAUGUUAAAGAUAUGGUCUAUACUUAUUUCAAAGGCUGACAAGACAUGGACUAAACCGAGAAUAUCAAGCUUCACGAGAUGAUACGAAGAAGUUCGAACUGAGUCAACAUUUCAAGUCCAAUUUCAAGUCAAGGUUCAGAGUUCCAUUUUCUCAUUUCUUUUUCAAGUUUAU